UGCCUAGCUCUGCCACUUCCCGGGGUCCGUUCGCAACGAUUUCGCAUGGCAGGGGCGGGGGAACCAACUUCCGGGCUUCUUAGGAGGCCCUUGGGGUUAAGUGGUGGGUGUUCUUGGCUGAGGCCGGGGCUCCCAUGGCCGGAUGACUCCCAUCCGAACCCGACAGCUCACCUCGCAGGCAUUGGGAGAGGUAAU
rfam:Arthrobacter crystallopoietes strain DSM 20117 genome assembly, contig: Ga0074718_12